GAUGAAGAACGUAGCGAAAUGCGAUAAGUAGUGUGAAUUGCAGAAUUCAGUGAAUCAUCGAAUCUUUGAACGCACAUUGCGCCCGCUGGUAUUCCGGCGGGCAUGCCUGUUCGAGCGUCAUUUCAACCCUCAAGCCCCCGGGUUUGGUGUUGGGGAUCGGCUCUGCCCUUCUGGGCGGUGCCGCCCCCGAAAUACAUUGGCGGUCUCGCUGCAGCCUCCAUUGCGUAGUAGCUAACACCUCGCAACUGGAACGCGGCGCGGCCAUGCCGUAAAACCCCAACUUCUGAAUGUUGACCUCGGAUCAGGUAGGAAUACCCGCUGAACUUAAGCAUAUCAUAAGCGGAGGA
rnacentral:misc_RNA from 1 species